rnacentral:lncRNA from 1 species
GGGCGGCUGUAGCCAAGUGGAUCAAGCCAGUGGAUUGUGAAUCCACCACUCGUGGGUUCAAUUCUCGUUGUUCGCCCAAAAAUAUAUAGGAGAACGACGGGAAUUGAACUUUUAGGGUUUAGGCUCUAAAUCCUAUAUUUUCUCGUCAACGUAGUACUUAUAUUAAAUUUCCGUCAUGGCACCGUCAAGUCUGAUCACGUGUGACGCACGUGAAGGCCG